UACAGAGGUCCCAAGCGUUGUUCGGAUUCAUUGGGCGUAAAGGGUGCGUAGGCGGCGCGGUAAGUCGGGUGUGAAAUCUCGGGGCUUAACUCCGAAACUGCAUUCGAUACUGCCGUGCUUGAGGACUGGAGAGGAGACUGGAAUUUACGGUGUAGCGGUGAAAUGCGUAGAUAUCGUAAGGAAGACCAGUGGCGAAGACGGGUCUCUGGACAGUUCCUGACGCUGAGGCACGAAGGCCAGGGGAGCAAACGGG
rnacentral:rRNA from 1 species